UACGUAGGGUGCAGGCGUUAAUCGGAAUUAUUGGGCGUAAAGAGCUCGUAGGCGGUCUGUCACGUCUGCCGUGAAAACCCGAGGCUUAACCUCGUGGCUUGCGGUGGAUACGGGCAGACUAGAGGUAGGUAGGGGAGAAUGGAAUUCCCGGUGUAGCGGUGAAAUGCGCAGAUAUCGGGAGGAACACCGGUGGCGAAGGCGGUUCUCUGGGCCUUACCUGACGCUGAGGAGCGAAAGCGUGGGGAGCGAACAGG
rnacentral:rRNA from 1 species